ACGCUGCUUCAAUGUUUAAUCCCUCUUUCAGGUAAACUGAGGCAGGAUCUUUGCAUUAGAGACGUGGAAAUUGACAUUGUUCGAACACUAAUUCCUCGAAGUUAAGAGCGUCUUUCUAUUUCUUACACUGGAGAUAAAGAAUAAUAAGUGUCUGAUCGGUGCGUCACCUUAAAAAAAACAUUUUCAGGGAAGAACAUUUCCAAAUAGUACAAGAUGACUUUGGAUCCUAAAGCUCUUGUUCAGAAGAUAAAUCAUUUCAAUUAGGAAAAAGUUUAGAGAACAUAAUCAUGAAGUGCUUUAUUUGCGACUAUAAAUGGAACUUACUGGAGAGGAAGCUUGAAUCGGAAGUUGGCUCACAACGGCCAUUGACAGCAGUAUUAAGGAUGGAAAAAUAAAUCUGCGGAGAAAUACAUUCUGGCAGAGAUGGCUGAGAGCUGUUGGUGAUCCCAGAAAGAUAAAUGGUCAGAACAAAGCCAAUUCGGGGAGGGAGUGAAAAGACCAUAUAUAGAGCAGAGCUACUUGCAAAGGAGAGAAAGGCAAGAUAAAAGACACCAAAACUAUUGGUUACAGCAAAGAUCAUAUCAAAGGCUGUGUAAAGAUACAACAAAAUUGUGUAUGAUAAAAUAUGUUUGGAAUUAAUUCGAGUGGAUUGUAAAUUUAGAUUGCAGAUUUGAACAUUUAUAUCACUGAUGCUUCGAACUAUGGAAAUCAUAGAUUUUCAUGACAGACAAGAUGAAAAUAGGAUAAUGAUUGUUUUUAUUCCGAAUGAGAUUUUAUGCAAAUAAACUUUAUAGAGUGACUUAUAUAAACCAACUUAAUAAGAGCAAAACUAGGCCAUUUGGCCUCUCGAGCCUCCUUUGCCAGUUGAUAAGACCACGGAUGAUCUGUUUGUGUUUUGAAUUAGUCUCUCAUCCACCCCAAUCAUUUGAGUCCUUUACAGGAAUCUAUUUACCUAUCUCUGCCCUAAAAAUACUCAAUAAUAUUGCUGCAUCUACCUUCUGAGGUGAAGAAUUCCAAAUUCGCACAAUGCACUCCAGAAAAAAAAACUCUUCUCAUCUCUGUCUUUAAAAGGUGAACCUGAAAGAGUGCUCUCUCAUUCUGGACUGACCCAAAAGAAGGGAAUGGCUGACUUUUAUCAGAAAUUGCUAAGCGUCAAUUUUGUGGUGUUUCAUGCAUAUAUCUCUUCAUGGUCCCAGCAAGUGUCCCCAUUCUAUUCUCUGCAGCUCCUGUCAUUAAUUAUGCAACAAAUCUUUAUGGCCCCCUGCUCAUACAUCCAUUCAGAAGUGGAAGAAAACCCACAACUGCCUGGACCUCCCAGGAUUUUCUGUGCCCAAGCACUUUUUAAAGCCCAUCUGUCCAUCAGGCCAUGCACUGUCAGCCAGGAGAUGCCCUUCAGAAUGGAUAUAUUGGGAGGGAAAUGAAAAAGAAAUCAUUUUGAGGGCAUGGCUGACAUUUCAUUGCCAAUACAAUUGUGCAUUCAUAAAUGUAUCCCUAAUUAACAUCAUCAUCCGUCUCAUCGAUUAUCAUUGUUAUUGGAACUAUAAGAGUCAAACCACAUAGGUGCUUACUCUCCUCCCCACCUCCUGUCCUUGGUGUCAUCCCUUCUUGAACUCCAUCUAAAGGGAAUGUUGUUCUUUCUUCAAUACUCAAUGUAGCCUAACAUCUUCUCAUCAUUCAAUGUGGGAGAAUCACAUCCUGCAAAGUCUUCAAACAGUUGACAAUAUUCACCCUUGUUUACCAAAAGCAAAUCUGUGGAAUUUGGAAUUUUCAGUCACCCACUGUAAUUGCUUGAAUGUUGAAAUAGACUUCUAAACAUCCUCAGUCAUAUUAUUGAAUGAUUCCUUUUCAUUCAGCACUAUCGUCAUUCACUGAUUUGUUUUACAAGUCUGGAGAAUGAACAUUUCUACCAGUCCUGUAAAGUUUGUGACUGCUUUCCUGUUGAUGCCUUGCAGAGCCUUUAGCUUUGAUCUUUAUGUUGUCAAUUUCUACGGGAAUAGUGCCAGAAGACUGGAGAAUAGCAAAUGUUGUCCCCUUGUUCAAGAAGGGGAGUUGGGACAACCCAGUAAUUAUAGACCAGUGAGCCUGACUUCGGUUGUGGGUAAAAUGUUGGAAAGGAUUAUAAGAGAUAGAAUUUAUAAUCAUCUAGAAAGGAAUAAUUUGAGUAGGGAGAGUCAACACGGUUUUGUGAAGGGUAGGUUGUGCCUCACAAACUUUAUUGAUUUAUUUGAGAAGGUGACCAAACAGGUGGAUGAGGGUAAAGCAGUUGAUGUGGUGCAUAUGGAUUUCAGUAAAGCGUUUGAUAAGGUUUCCCCAUGGUAGGCUAUUGCAGAAAAUUCGGAGGCGUGGGAUUGAGGGUGGUUUAGUGGCUUGGAUCAGAAAUUGGCUAGCUGUAAGAAGACAGAGGGUGGUGUUUGGUGGGAAAUGUUCAUCUGGAGUUCAAUUACUAGUGGUUUCGGCAAGGAUCUGUUUUGGGGCCACUGCUGUUUGUCAUUUUUAUAAAUGACCUGGAUGAGGGCAUAGAAAGAUGGGUUAGUAAAUUUGCGGAUGACACUAAAGUCGAUGGAGUUGUGGAUAGUGUGGAAGGAUAUUUCAGGUUACAGAGGGACAUAGAUAAGUUGCAGAGCUGGGCUAACAGGUGGCAAAUGAGUUUAAUGCAGAAAAAUGUGAGGUGAUUCACUUUGGAAGGAGUAACAGGAAUACAGAGUACUAGGCUAAUGGUAAGUUUCUUGGUAGUGUGGAUGAGCAGAGAGAUCUCGGUGUCCAUGUGCAUAGGUCCCUGAAAGUUGCCACCCAGGUUGAUAGGGUUGUUAAGAAGGCGUACAGUUGUUAAGUUUUAUUGGUAGAGGGAUUGAGUUUCGGAGCCAUGAGGUCAUGUUACAGCUGUACAAAACUCUGAUGCGGCCACGCUUGGAGUAUUGCGUAUAGUUCUGGUCGCCGCAUUAUAGAAAGGAUGUGGAAGCAUGGGAAAGGGUGCAGAGGAGAUUUACCAGGAUGUUGCCUGGUAUGGAGGGAAGGUCUUAUGAGGAAAGGCUGAGGGACUUAAAGCUGUUUUCGUUAGAGAGAAGAAGGUUAAGAGGUGACUUAAUAGAGACGUACAAGAUGACCAGAGGAUUAGAUAGGGUGGACAGUGAGAGCCUUUUUCCUUGGAUAAUGAUGGCUUGCACGAGGGGGCAUAGUUUUAAAUUGAGGGGUGAUAGAUAAGGACAGAUGUCAGAGGUAGGUUCUUUACUCAGAGAGUAGUGAUGGCGUGGAAUGCCCUGCCUGCAACAGUAGUAGACUAGUCAAAUUUAAGGGCAUUUAAAUGAUCAUUAGAUAAACAUAUGGAUGAUAAUGGAAUAGUGUAGGUUAGAUGGGUUUCAGAUUAGUUUCACAGGUUGGAGCAACAUCGAGGACCGAAGGGCCUGUACUGCACUGUGAUGUUCUAUGUUCUAUGCAUAUACAGGGAAUCUCAUUAGAUUCUUUCUUCUUUUUGGAUUCCUCCAUAAGUCUAGUAUGCCCAAAGAAAUCUUCCACUAGUUGCACCUUGAGGGGUUGAUCAAAUUUGUUUCUGAAUCAAUUGUUCUCUUGAAAUGAGUUGAAUUUUUUCAGCUACAGGACGGAUGUUGAGCUCAAGACAUGCUUGUAAGCUCAAAACUGAGAAGCAUCAGUUGUAUACCAUGUGAGAUUUUCAAUUCUUGUGUACUUUUUGUCUUUUGUGUAACUUUUUGUAUACUUUUAAUCUUAAGAGUUGUUGCUCACAGAUCAUGUCAUCGAUUUUUUGUGUGCUGUAACCCAGUUUCUUCAGUCACAUCUGAUCUGACAGGACAUGUCAGUCUUUUCUGUACCAAGGUUAAAUUGACAAGAUGCCCGUUGACAUAAAUAAGCGCUGUGAAAGUCAAGUCAGAGGAAUCCUUUGUUAAAAAUAUUUAUUAACGAUGGUUUUUUUUUCUUAGGAAUAGCUCUGAUAUCUUUUCUGAUUGCAGUGCUUCAUCAAAUGUGGAUAUCUUUUCUGAUAGUGGGUGCCAUACAGUGUAGAUCUGCUUGCAUGUGUUGCAUUUUUUCGUUUAGGAUCUGGGAUCUGCCCGUGAAGCUUUCUGGAUUCUGCCUGUAGCAAAUUUGAAGCUUUCUCCUUUAACUGGAAGAAAUCAAGAAUUCCAACAGCAAUUCUAUUUCUUACUUCGGAUUUCUUUUUCAUAAUUUCACCUAUUCUGCAUAAAUCACUCUCUGAAGAAUAUGUACACCACAUUUGUUUAUAUCAAAUUUUAAAAUUUGCAUUAAAAUCCACAAAACUGACACGUAGCAAUUUCUGAUAAAAUUCAGCCAUUCUUUUCUCUUUUGGCUCAGUCAAGAGUGAGGGAACACUCUUUAAGCUUCACCUUUUAAAAUUUAAUACUAAAUUAUCAGUAUGUACUUUCAUGAAGCGACUGUGUUUUCUCAAAAUAUCUUAUAUUUUAAAAUGUGUUGAUUCUCCCCAUCAGGAGAGGUCCAAUUCCCUGUCUUUAGGUCAGAUAGUAGUGAUUCAUGAUAGUGUACACGUAACAUCAGUGAGCGUAUCACUGGUGCCUUGGGAAUGCAAUUAGACUGUGGGUGGGUGGGACCUUAAAAGCUGCAGUCCUUUCAAUGCAUCCAUAUGUACAGAGCAGCCUGAAGGGGUAACUGAAACCUGUUAAAUUAAUGUUUGUUUCAAUACAAUACAAUUUUACAUUUGUCAAACAGUGGAUGAUGAAAUUGCACUUUUAGCGAUUCUUCCACUGAAAACACAAAACAAAGGUUACUCCUUUUUGAUUUACUGUUUCUAAUUUUACAACAGUUUAUCCAUCAAAGUGAAAAGAUUUUGUAUUAACACUUGAUAUAAUAACUAGCUAGGGAGUUAUUUUCAGGAAAUAUUUAUUUAAUAGUUUUGGUUUUUAUUUCAAAAUACCCUCAGUUACUUUCUGCAAUGACAAUCAAUAUCGCUGCAUAUUUGAUGUUGUAGGAACAUUCUAAGGAUGCAUAAAGUCCUUUUCUUAAAGCACAUUUAAGCUUUCCCAGUUAAUUGAUAUAUUACAUGGCUAGUAGUUCUCUAAAUUUGGAAAUAUAUUUUGGCAAUAAGAAUA